rnacentral:lncRNA from 1 species
AUAUAUAUAUAUAUAUAUAAUUGGGCUGGAAUACUAUUGAUAGUAUUUAGGCUCUUUUGCUAUCGAGUUUUUAACCAUUGGAAGAAAAAUUAUAGUAUUUGGAUGAUAGUGGUCCCCUAGAGUUUAGUGGUGAUCCCUUUAGGGUUGAGUGGGUGGUUGGUUGAAUAAUAUGAUCUAAAGAGUAUAAUUGAUUAAAGUAUAGAUCUAACGGCUAAAAAUUCGAUAGCAAAAGAGUCCAAAUACUAUUAAUAGCAUUCUAGCUCAACUCUCUUUCUCUCUCUCUCUCUCUCUCUCUCUCUCUCUCUCUAUAGUAGAGCUACUAUACUAUCGGAAGCAUAGAGGAUUUGGUGUUUUUGACUUUCUGCCCUUAGAUCAGCCUCUUUAAUCAUUUCUAACAUUUGACUUAAUACUAUUACCCUCUGGGGACCACUUAACCCUCGGGUUACUACUCAACCCUAAGGGGGACCGCAAUCAUCCCAACUGUACAAUUCUUAAUCCAAGGGUCAAAAAAUCAAAAGCAUCAAAUCCUCUAUACGUCCAAUAACACAGUAGCUCUAUAAUAUAU